AAUCUGUAACAAAAUCACAGUUUCUUCAAUGGUUUAACCACGAAAUCCUCAGAGUGCAGGGUGUUAGUAAUAAUUGAGUAUAAUAACAAGUCGCACAACUCACGAACUUCACACACAGACUCUCAGCUGGCAAAUAAAUAAUUAAUUAAUAACACAAAUAAUAAAUCUCCCGAAUGGUAACAAAGACAGUAUAUAACUGAGUAGUGGCAUAAUACAAAUAUAAAAGAAGUAGAUAGUCCCACAGUUAUCAAUUCAUUCAAGAAAUAGAAUUUCAAAUAAUACGAAUGUUACAAAGCCACCCAUUCUAAAAAAAAGCUGACAAGAUGGCCAGUGAAUUGUCGUUAGCAAAUUUGAAAACAGUGCUUAAAGAGAAUAAUACUGACUUGACAAACACAAUUAGUAAGAAAAUUGAUUCAAAGUUUGAUGCACUAAAUGAUAUCCUUAGCGCACAAGAUAAAAAAUUAAAGUUCUAGAGUCUGAAGUGCUAAAAUUGAAUAAUACUGUAGUUCGUGUUACUAAUGAAAACGAACAGCUUUGGCGUGAAGUUAACAAACUCAAUUUAGUUAUCUCAGGGGUACCGGACUCUGAAUAUGAGUCUCGUGAGGAUCUAGGAGUCAAAAUUGACACCAUUAUUGUAAAGAUAGUUGGUGAAAGUAGAAAGUUCGACACCAUUACAAGAGUUGGAAAAUUCCUAAAAAACUCUGCAAGGCUGAUCAAAGUUCGCUUUCUCUCAAUAAGUGACCGGGACGAGGUGUAUGACAACCGAUACAAUGCGGAGCGCCCGACCUACAUCAACGAAGAUAUCCCACCCACAAUGAGAAGAGAUCAUGCCAUAAUGCGUCAGAAGAAGAAGCAAUUUAUUAAGGAUGGAUUUGGACUACAACAAAUAAAAAUGGACUGGAACAGACGGAUAAUUCGAGCUGGAGAAGAGACGUACAAAGUCGUUGAUGGAAACAUUAAACUACUCGUCCCAAAUAUUACGACAACCUCAAACUCCCCCCCUCAAAGUCAGAACCAAAAUACCACGCACCAAAACUUUCAAAACAGAGUGGGUUCCGGACAUCCGAACGGGACAAACCCCUAUUACGGUGGAUCGGACUCAUCUCCAGGAAAUCACACUAACGCAAAAUUGACUAUCAAUGGAUCGAGAGGAAGUGGGAGAGGACAUGGACCUAGAGGCGGCUCAAACCAAGUAGGACACCGAAUCCAUGCAUCUGAUCCAUCGCCUUUUCCGCCCAAAUCACCGUCACUCCCCUUCAACCCAUCGGCAACCUCAUCUGCACGUCCCCCCCAUUUUUUAGGCCAGUCCAGCCUAAGCCUCGGCAACUAAUAACUCUGUCCCAAUUAAAUGUUAACUCUGUACAUAAAAAAAAUUUAACGAAAUAUCUACUUACCUUUCCGCCAAAGACAUCGACAUUUAAUGUGUAACUGAAACCCUAUUCUAUUAACUGAAAGAUGUGAUAUGAAUAAGUCUGUUUAUGUACUUGGCGAUUUUAACCUUAAUAGCGAAAAGUCAAUUAAGCCACUAAUUACAACCUUAACACAAUUAAAUCUUACCUGCUCUAAAAAAGCAUAGGUCAUUACUCAGUGAUAUUGUGGGUCGAUUAGGUGAUAAACCGAUUAUAAGGGUACAUAAAGUAAAGCUUUUGGGUGUUAUUGAUGAUUGUCUUGAAUUUAAGGUUCAUUGUAAGACCACCUUAAAUGUUACUCAGUACGUACCAUAGAAAUAUUGUUGUGAACUCCCUCAUCAUGUCUAUUAUUAAUUAUGCCUCUCCAGUCUACUUAGUUGGUAAUCAGAAUAUCAAAUGUAUCCAGAAACUCAUAAGAUCGUGUGCAAGACGUGUAUUAAACAAGCGUAAAUAUGAUAAUAAUGAUGUUAAUUAUGAGGUAAUACAAACUAGGCAAACGCGAUCCGUAACACAUGUUGAGCCAAAUAUACCGUGUAACUCAAAAAUCAUGCUGAUAAGUUUCAGGUAUAGAGCGUCCUAGGUCAUGAUCCAUUUACCGAGUGAUUUAUUUAGUGGUAAUAUCAGUAAAAGUGUUUUUAAAAAAAAGAAAAAAAAAAUUAUCCAAGAAGUAGUUUAUUGAUAAGCAACGUGAAGAACGAAUUAUUGAUAUGUUUAAUCUAAUUGAUAAUAACGAAGAAAUGUAACUGUGUAUACUUUAUAUAUAAAAAUUGUCUGUCCUUGAAACGUAAUGACCCAAUCUUUGGGGUGUUUCAUUGUAUGAAAUAAAUAGAUAAAUAAAUAAAUAAUACGAACGACCA